rnacentral:lncRNA from 1 species
CCUGUCCCUAGCUCUGUGGUGGUCCACGGCGGCCCAGAGCCACCUCCUCCUGUCCGCAAACCUCCCCUCCCUGCCCAGGCUGCCUGGCGCUGGCCAAGCCACCUGUGGCUAUCACAGAGCAUUGGCUGGCCAGCCAGUGAGAGCAGAGGCUGCCACGGCCACUGACCUGUGAUGUCCCCACAAUGGACCUUUGAGGAAAAAACCCAGGAGGUGCCAGAGUGUCCCCAACACUGGCCACUCCUGAUGGACUCAGGCCUUUGCCUGUGAGUCGAACACUGAGGUGGGGGGAGGGGACUGGGAAUCCUGGCCUUUGCCCCAGGCCUUUGCAGGCCCCGCCCUGCCCCUCCACAUGGCUGAGCAGAGCUGGCCCCACUGGCCCUGCCUGAGGACCACCAGAAAGCUGCCAGUAGCCCCAAGUUGCUCAAAGCCACCCUGAGAUGGAAAGGGGUUUGAAAUCCUCCUUCUACACGGGAGGCAGGGAGCAGGGGCUUCCUGGCCAAGGUCAGCAGCCAGUAAGGGUGAGAAUGGGAUUUGAACCCAGGACCCCAGCUGAUCCUGCUCUUUCUGGCACCCUUCUGUGCCCAAGGGUGGCCAAUUUGUCCCUCUGGGCCCCUGGGCUUCCCAUUUGUAGACCUGCACGUGUUUGUGCCCCUGUGGGAUGUGGGGGUGCAGAGGGCUGACUCAACACUCCACUUCCUCUGUCCACGUGAACAGGAAGGGCCAGGGCAGCCUGGAGCCCCUUCCUCCUUCUAAGGCCAGCCUCUGAAGGGACCGCUCCUUGUCCCUGUAGGCAGGGGAUGCUCCCAAAGUCUAGGGCCCUGUCAGUGUCCCUCUUGCCAGAUGGCCCUGGGCAGGGUCUGCCCCCUGCCAGGGUGUGCCCCAAACAGGACACUGGGCAGAAACCAGGAGGGGUGGUGAAGGGAGCCCCGUCCGCCCUGGCCCUGCCGAGGUGUCUGGCAAAGGUGGAGAGUCCAGCCCCAGCCAGGACAGGGCUCCCCUAGGUGGCGUGGAGCUGGCGCUGGGCCUCCCUGACCCAGGCCCUGCCCUGGCCCACCUAUCUGGUCACCAGCAUCGGACAGCAGGUGACACUCCAGGUCGCCCGCCAGGUUGGCGAGCGGCGGGCACCCAGGAGGCCCCAAGGACCCGCCCCGCUCCGGGAGAAGGCGGACGAGGCCCUGGGCUUAGACUUCUGGGCUGCUCCCGUACACAGCGGGUGCUCACUAAGUGCAGGUCGCCAAGGACCGCGGGCCGUGUCUCCCCUCAUCAGAAAACAACCAGGCACUUUCCGACCUCAGGGCCUCUGCUCAGUGGCUCCUCCGCUGGAUCACCGCCCCCAGAUUCUUGCCUCCUCCUCCGUCUGGUUCAGGCUUCAUGAUUGCUUUAUUAGAAAGUUCUUUGCUUGCUGGGUGUGGUGCACGCCUGUGAUCCCAGCACUCUGGGAGGCUGAGGCAGGAGGAUCACAAGUUCAAGCCCAUCCUGGGCAAUUUAGCAACUUAGCAAGACCCUGUCUCAAAAUUAGAUAAAGGGCUGGGGAUGCAGCUCAGUGUGAGCCCUGGGUUCAAUCCCAGUACCGCAAAAAAACAAAAAUUUUGGCCGGGGAUGGAGCUCAGUGGUUUCACCGCCUGCUGCGCAAGCGCAAGGACCCGAGUUCGAUCCCCGGUACCAAAAAAAUAAAAAUAAAAUAAAAUAAAAAAUUUUUAUUUCUCUUUUGAAAACUGCUCACCGUCCAGUGCCCUCCUCCCUUGUCUUCCCUGACCCUGCUAGGGCCAUCAGGUCCACCGGGUCUGUGUCCAGAGCCCCCCCCACGUCCCCAUCCCAGCAGAGGUCCCAGCUGGUACCAAGCAGCCUCUUCCCAGGGGUCUGUUCCGCCCAGGGGACAGCACGGCGGCCACGGGUGCCAGCCCACAGUGCCAAUGGGGCAGAGCCAGGGGACGGUGUGCCCGACCUGGCCGCUGGAGAGAGGGGUCUGGGGAGGCGCAUGGGGCGGGAGCCCAGGCUCCAGCUCCCCACGCAGGCCAGCCCGCUCGCCUGUGGUCCGGGGCGCAGGGCUAUGAGAAGGGGACUCCAGGGACGGCUGUGUGGCGGCCAGAGCAGGGGAGACGGGGGCCAGGCUCAGCUCAGCCACACCCGCCCUCACAGGCCCGGGUCCCUGGCAGGCGCCCUCCCCCAGCCUGGUGGGCCUGCCGCUGUUCAGCACAGGGCGCUGCGGUGUCAGAGACGGCCUUUCUGGUG